GCUUACGGCCAUACCACUCUGAACACGCCCGAUCUCGUCCGAUCUCGGAAGCUAAGCAGGGCCGGGCCUGGUUAGUACUUGGAUGGGAGACCGCCUGGGAAUACCAGGUGCUGUAAGCU
rnacentral:rRNA from 1 species